AGACCCGAAACCCGGUGAUCUAGCCAUGGGCAGGUUGAAGGUUGGGUAACACUAACUGGAGGACCGAACCGACUAAUGUUGAAAAAUUAGCGGAUGACCUGUGGCUGGGGGUGAAAGGCCAAUCAAACCGGGAGAUAGCUGGUUCUCCCCGAAAGCUAUUUAGGUAGCGCCUCGUGAAUUCAUCUCCGGGGGUAGAGCACUGUUUCGGCUAGGGGGCCAUCCCGGCUUACCAACCCGAUGCAAACUGCGAAUACCGGAGAAUGUUAUCACGGGAGACACACGGCGGGUGCUAACGUCCGUCGUGAAGAGGGAAACAACCCAGACCGCCAGCUAAGGUCCCAAAGUCAUGGUUAAGUGGGAAACGAUGUGGGAAGGCCCAGACAGCCAGGAUGUUGGCUUAGAAGCAGCCAUCAUUUAAAGAAAGCGUAAUAGCUCACUGGUCGAGUCGGCCUGCGCGGAAGAUGUAACGGGGCUAAACCAUGCACCGAAGCUGCGGCAGCGAACGUAUCACCCAAGACAACUUUACGGAGUUGACGAUUGACGGAGCGAAGCGACGUCAAAGCGUUCAUUAAAGUCGAGUUGGCUUAGGGAUACGUUCGUUGGGUAGGGGAGCGUUCUGUAAGCCUGUGAAGGUGUGUCGUGAGGCAUGCUGGAGGUAUCAGAAGUGCGAAUGCUGACAUAAGUAACGAUAAAGCGGGUGAAAAGCCCGCUCGCCGGAAGACCAAGGGUUCCUGUCCAACGUUAAUCGGGGCAGGGUGAGUCGACCCCUAAGGCGAGGCCGAAAGGCGUAGUCGAUGGGAAACGGGUUAAUAUUCCCGUACUUGGUGUUACUGCGAAGGGGGGACGGAGAAGGCUAUGUUGGCCGGGCGACGGUUGUCCCGGUUUAAGCGUGUAGGUGUGUGUUCCAGGUAAAUCCGGUUCACUUUAACACUGAGGCGUGACGACGAGGCACUACGGUGCUGAAGCAACAAAUGCCCUGC
rnacentral:rRNA from 1 species